UACGAAGGGUGCUAGCGUUGUUCGGAAUCACUGGGCGUAAAGCGCGCGUAGGCGGCUUUCCAAGUCAGGGGUGAAAUCCUUGGGCUCAACCCAAGAACUGCCUUUGAAACUGUUAAGCUGGAGUGUCGGAGGGGAUAGCGGAAUUCCUAAUGUAGUGGUGAAAUACGUAGAUAUUAGGAGGAACACCGGUGGCGAAGGCGGCUAUCUGGACGACAACUGACGCUGAGGCGCGAAAGCGUGGGGAU
rnacentral:rRNA from 1 species